rnacentral:rRNA from 1 species
GAUGAACGCUGGCGGCGUGCCUAAUACAUGCAAGUCGAGCGAAUGGAUUAAGAGCUUGCUCUUAUGAAGUUAGCGGCGGACGGGUGAGUAACACGUGGGUAACCUGCCCAUAAGACUGGGAUAACUCCGGGAAACCGGGGCUAAUACCGGAUAACAUUUUGAACCGCAUGGUUCGAAAUUGAAAGGCGGCUUCGGCUGUCACUUAUGGAGGGACCCGCGUCGCAUUAGCUAGUUGGUGAGGUAACGGCUCACCAAGGCAACGAUGCGUAGCCGACCUGAGAGGGCGAUCGGCCACACUGGGACUGAGACACGGCCCAGACUCCUACGGGAGGCAGCAGUAGGGAAUCUUCCGCAAUGGACGAAAGUCUGACGGAGCAACGCCGCGUGAGUGAUGAAGGCUUUCGGGUCGUAAAACUCUGUUGUUAGGGAAGAACAAGUGCUAGUUGAAUAAGCUGACACCUUGACGGUACCUAACCAGAAAGCCACGGCUAACUACGUGCCAGCAGCCGCGGUAA